GACUCACCCAUGUGGCUACUAUCCAAAAGCCUAAAACACCACAACUAAGCCAAAGAGUGUCAUAAUACAUAAGCAGACAUAUAUUCCUCACCAUCAUCUUUGAGCCACCAGUUUCAUUUCUUGGAUAACCCUAAAGUGGGGAAGUUCAUUUCCCAUGCUCUAUGGCCACUAUGAGAAACAAUGAUUUCGACAUCUUUGUCCCUCUCUUUCGGUUUCUAAGCUCACAUGUGAUUAUUUUCAAUUUCACUAAACAAGAGCCUGAUAAACGUCUUUGUCACAGGUCCCUACCCUUUACAAGUGAAUGU